GCUUAACAUGUGAUUCCAUUAGCUGGAGCAUCGUGGAUAUUUGCUAACAAUGCUAUCGAUAGAAACUUCCAAACUCUGCUUAGGAGUAGUAGCCGUAGUAGUAAUAAUAUAUUUACCUUAUCUGCGCUGUCGUUGCUACGUGACAAAAUUGUUAUCAUGAACAUUAAUUUAAACAUGUCAUUGAAUAGUUAGAAAUCCUAAUCCUUUGAUCAUGUGCAGUUUUAAAAUAUCUGUAGAUCAUUUUUGCUGAAUUGGUGCUGUACUUGAUUAACAGAUCAUUAACAAUGACAACAAACAGGAAAGCCCCUGAAAGAGAUGCCCUUCAACAUGUGGUCAAGGCUAUUGACAAGACUGCACACUUGGAAGUGAAAUUCAUAAACUCUGUCAAAGGUCGAGGUGUGUUUGCCAAAUCCCACUUUGAAAAAGGAAACUUUGUGGUGGAGUACCGAGGCCAAUUAAUAAAAUCUGAAGAAUCUCAAAGGAGGAGGAGAGUAUAUCAUAGUCAAUGUGCAGUCUUCCUGUUCGAUUUCUACUGGCAAGAAAGAUUAUGGUGCAUUGAUGCAGCUCAAGAAGAUGGCAGCUUGGGAAGAUUAGUUAAUGAUGAGAACAUCCGUCCCAAUUGCAAAAUGAAAAAGCUCAUAGUAGAGGGGAAGCCACACCUCUGUCUUUUCGCCCUGAGGAACAUUAUUCCUGGAGAGGAGAUUACGUAUAAUUAUGGAGGAACUGACUGGCCAUGGAGGAAUAAGAUUGAAGAGGAACCAGUUGAGACAAUGUCUCCUGCAGUAGAGGCCCCUGAAACAUCUCCGCAGCUUUUAGAGGCCCCUGAAACAUCUCCGCAGCUUGCAGUGCUAUCAUCAGUGUCCGAGAAAAAGAUUGAAGAGGAACCAGUUGAGACCAUGUCUCCUGCAGUAGAGGCCCCUGAAACAUCUCCGCAGCUUUUAGAGGCCCCUGAAACCUCUCCGCAGCUUGCAGUGCUAUCAUCAGUGUCCGAGAAAAAGAUUGGAAAGAAACGUCUUAUGACCAAAUCUGCCGCAGUAGAGGCCCCUAAAACAUCUCAGCCGCUUGCAGUGCUUUCGACAGUGUCCAAGAAAAAGAUUGGAAAGAAACGUCUUAUGACCAAAUCUGCCGCAGUAGAGGCCCCUAAAACAUCUCAGCCGCUUGCAGUGCUUUCGACAGUGUCCAAGAAAAAGAUUGAAGAGGAACCAGUUGAGACCAUGUCUCCUGCAGUAGAGGCCCCUGAAACAUCUCCGCAGCUUUUAGAGGCCCCUGAAACCUCUCCGCAGCUUGCAGUGCUAUCAUCAGUGUCCGAGAAAAAGAUUAAAGAGGAACCAGUUGAGACCAUGUCUCCUGCAGUAGAGGCCCCUGAAACAUCUCAGCAGCUUGCAGUGCUAUCAUCAGUGUCCAAGAAAAAGAUUGGAAAGAAACGUCUUAUGACCAAAUCUGCCGCAGUAGAGGCCCCUAAAACAUCUCAGCCGCCUGCAGUGCUUUCGACAGUGUCCAAGAAAAAGAUUGGAAAGAAACGUCUUAUGACCAAAUCUGCCGCAGUAGAGGCCCCUAAAACAUCUCAGCCGCUUGCAGUGCUUUCGACAGUGUCCAAGAAAAAGAUUGGAAAGAAACGUCUUAUGACCAAAUCUGCCGCAGUAGAGGCCCCUAAAACAUCUCAGCCGCUUGCAGUGCUUUCGACAGUGUCCAAGAAAAAGAUUGAAGAGGAACCAGUUGAGACCAUGUCUCCUGCAGUAGAGGCCCCUGAAACAUCUCCGCAGCUUUUAGAGGCCCCUGAAACCUCUCCGCAGCUUGCAGUGCUAUCAUCAGUGUCCGAGAAAAAGAUUAAAGAGGAACCAGUUGAGACCAUGUCUCCUGCAGUAGAGGCCCCUGAAACAUCUCAGCAGCUUGCAGUGCUAUCAUCAGUGUCCAAGAAAAAGAUUGGAAAGAAACGUCUUAUGACCAAAUCUGCCGCAGUAGAGGCCCCUAAAACAUCUCAGCCGCCUGCAGUGCUUUCGACAGUGUCCAAGAAAAAGAUUGGAAAGAAACGUCUUAUGACCAAAUCUGCCGCAGUAGAGGCCCCUAAAACAUCUCAGCCGCUUGCAGUGCUUUCGACAGUGUCCAAGAAAAAGAUUGAAGAGGAACCAGUUGAGACCAUGUCUCCUGCAGUAGAGGCCCCUGAAACAUCUCCGCAGCUUUUAGAGGCCCCUGAAACAUCUCCGCAGCUUGCAGUGCUAUCAUCAGUGUCCGAGAAAAAGAUUGAAGAGGAACCAGUUGAGACCAUGUCUCCUGCAGUAGAGGCCCCUGAAACAUCUCCGCAGCUUUUAGAGGCCCCUGAAACAUCUCCGCAGCUUGCAGUGCUAUCAUCAGUGUCCGAGAAAAAGAUUGGAAAGAAACGUCUUAUGACCAAAUCUGCCGCAGUAGAGGCCCCUAAAACAUCUCAGCCGCCUGCAGUGCUUUCGACAGUGUCCGAGAAAAAGAUCGAAGAGGAACCCGUUGUGACUAAUUCUACAGCAGUAGAGGCCCCUCAAACAUCCCAGCAGCCUGCAGUGCUUUCGUCAGUUUCCAAGAAAAAGAUUGGAGAGAAACGUACUGUGAUUGAGUCUGGACUAGCUGACCGUUAUGAAACACCUGAACACUGUGGUCUGCUUUCGCCCAAGAAAAAGAGAUGUAAUCUAAUUCAGGAGUCCUCAGACCAAGACCAACCUUAUGUCCCUAAACUGAGGAGGACCAAAAGCAUUCAGAUUAACAGACAAACCGAUUUUGAUUCCUAUGAGCUUUUUGAGACAUCAGAUGAAAGUGAAGAAGAAUAUGUUCCUGAUACAAGCGAGGAUUCAUCUGAUGAAACGGACACCAGUGAAGUUUUUGAAACAUCCAAUCAGAAGAAAAUUACAUUAAGGGGACGCUCACUCGUACGAAAGGGCAGUGCUUUGAAACGGAAAAGGCACCAUUCCAGAAGUGUAUCCUGUUGCCGAACACAUUCUUUUGGUGGACAGUCAUCAGAAACUUCAUACACUGAAGACCCUCAUGGAAGCUCGACACUGGUUUGUCCUGACAGUACUACUUCCCCCACUUCAGAUGUAGCUGACGACUUACUUACCGUACCUGCUGUCUGUAAAAAAGAGGAUGGAUCACGACAAUAUAACAAAAAACAGUACUGUUUAAACUGUAAAAAGGGAUUUAUAAAAAUGGCCAGGCAUUUAGAGCGUGCUCAUAAAAACGAGAAAGAAGUUGCACAGGCUGGGUCUUUUCCAAAAGGUUCUAAACAAAGAAGACUGCAUCUGGAACAUUUGAGAAAUCGAGGCAACUUCGCCCACAAUUCUGAGGUCUUAAAUACUGGUGUUGGAAAGCUUGUUCCUCGGAAACAACCAAAAGAUGAUUCUAAACCCAGAGAUUUUGAUCACUGUAUAUAUUGUCAAGGCUAUUUCACAAAGAAAGUUAUGUGGCGCCACAUGAUGAUAUGCAAGUUUAAGCCUAGUGGCCCUACGAAGCCUGGCAAAACACGGGUGCAAGCACUUUGUGCUUUUGCUGUACCACCACCACCUGGAGUCAAAGCAGAAUUCUGGAAGGUCCUAAACCAUAUGAUUCAAGAUGACGUUUACUUUGCAGUUAAAUCUGAUGUCUGGAUCAUGGAGUAUGGUGUGCAUUUGCAUAACAAGCAUGGAUAUGAUGUUGGCAAACAUGAAUAUAUCCGUCAGAAAAUGAGGGAACUGGGAAGGCUUUUGAUUUGUUCGAGGAAAACCACUCCCUUGAAGACCAUCGAAGAUCACAUGAAGCCUGAAAAUUUCAUGCAUGUUGUGCAAGCUGUGCAACUCGUGGCUGGCUUUGUCUCUGAAUCCAGCACCUACAAGCGUCCAAGUCUUGCACUAAAAAUUGGGCAUAGUCUGGUGAAGAUAUCGCUGCUUCUUGAAGCCCGUGCAAGUAUGCAAAACAACCAACCAGCAGCAAAAGAUGCUCGUAGGUUCCGCUCAGUGUACGAAGCCAGAUGGAACGAACUCAUUUCAGCUGCAUCACUGAGAACAAUGCAUGAAUCGAAAUGGAAUGUUCCUCAGUUGAUUCCGUUCACUAAGGAUGUUCAGAAACUCCACUCCUAUUUGGACAUGCAGCAGGAACAGUUUUACAACGAACUGUCCUCAGAGCCGUCUAAAAACACUUGGGUACAUCUGACUAAAAUCACUUUGACACAAGUCAUGAUGUUCAACCGACGUAGAACAGGAGAAGUUUCAAAAAUGCCCCUCUCUACCUAUUUUGCUCCAAAUCCAGUAGAUCUGCAGGAAGAUGUGGGUAUGGCGCUUUCAGAGCUAGAGAAAAAACUCUGUCAGCAUUUCAGGAGGUUGGAGAUACGAGGAAAAAGAGGAAGAAAGGUCCCUGUCCUCCUAACUCCAGAAAUGCAGAGAUCGUUGGACCUCCUUGUUGCCAAGCGACUUGAGUGUGGGAUUCUUAAGGAAAAUGGCUACCUAUUUGCCAGGCCGUCUGUAUUGACCUGCUACCGUGGUUCUGAUUGUAUCAGAGAUUUUGCCAAGGUCUGUGGUAUUGCAAACUACACAAGUCUCACUUCUACAAAACUGCGCAAGCAAACCGGAACACUCUCUCAAGUUCUCAACCUCAGUAAUACAGAGCUGGACCAAUUAGCCAAUUUCCUUGGCCAUGAUGUCAGAGUCCAUCGGCAAUUUUACAGGCUGCCUGAAGGGACCCUUCAACUUGCUAAAAUUAGCAAAGUCCUCUUGGCUCUUGAACAGGGGCGUUUGGCAGAAUUCAAAGGCAAAGGCCUGGAUGACAUCACAAUCGGUCCAGAAGAGAGUGUGAACCUUGACAGUGACCAUGAGGCACAGGAGAAUGUAGACAGUGACACUGAGGUACAGCGUGAGUCUGACACACAAGAAACCCAGUCUCAGAAGAGAGAGAGGAGUACAGAAGGGUUGAUGGAGAAAGAGGUCAAGGUUAAGUUGGAAAAGAUGAGUGAAGUAAUCUAUAACUAUGUCUUAGACAGGUUUGGAUGUGUGUGCCUUGAUCAAGAAUAGUUUUCUUCAUAUGUUUCCUUAAGAAAACUAGUUUUCUUUCCCUUUUGCUUGGAUGGGGGGUUUUGAACCUGGGUUGCCCGUUUGUGAGGCAAGUGCCUUGGCCAUUGUGCUACAGUGGAGUUGAAGAUCAGUGUAACUUAAGGUAAUAUGUGCAAUGUGAAUAGGUACACCCCAGACCAGUAGAGGGCAGCAAUGCAGAUUCUUGGUCAGUAGAAGCACAGCUGAAGAAGAGCAGACUAAGUUCCGUGGAGCUAACGACAGUAAGCGACAGUACGCGACAAUAGCGGGCAAUAUGGCGGCGAAAAGCGUCAAAAUAAAGUACAAAAGCGGACACAGAGUGUUUUACGGCUAAAUGAACGGGAAAGCAGUUCAGAUGGAGACGACAGAAGAAAAAGUGUCCAGAAGAAAAAGUCCAAGACCAUUCACAAGCCACAGAAGA